rnacentral:misc_RNA from 1 species
GUACUCUCACACUUCCGAUCGUUUGGAUCGGGAGUGGUGGACUUGGGUGUUGCUGCUUUACUGUGGCUCACCUUAAAUGCAUUAGUGCACCUUUCGGUUGGACAUAGUACGUCGUGAUAAGUGUCUUCGCCGGCACCUCACAGAGGGUGGCCGAUUGGGAGCUCUGUGCUUCAAACCGUCCUCGGACAACAGCUGACA